rfam:Callipepla squamata strain Texas jcf7180005234157, whole genome shotgun sequence.
CCAAAGGCUCUUUUCAGAGCCACCCACGCACUCAAUGAAAGAGCUU